UGGAUAGCCUAUCCCUUCUCCAGGGGAUCUUCCCAACCCAGGAAUCAAACCGGGGUCUCCCGCAUUACAGGUGGGGAAAGGUGGUCAUCACUGUCCCAGUUUCCAUCUAAUGAAGCUAAAGUCUGGAAGAAGGAGCUGAUAACACAAACUCACUCAGGUGGUAGCAUGUGGAGCUGUUGUCUCAGUCUAGUUCUUGGUUGUUUUUAAUUAAAAUUUUCUUUUGUUGUUCUUAAAA